AUUGGAUAAGAAGUGCGCUGAAGAAUGAGGGAUAUGGGUUAGGUAGUACUUCACUUCAGACUCUUUUGGAGGCAAUGGAGGAGCUCGAGUCAGACGAUGAUGAUGCAACAUCGCACAUUGUCUAACUGACUGACUAUCAAUUUAAGGAACAAUUGGAAAUAUGAUGGUUGGAACUUCUUUUUGGUAUAUAUAUAUUAUA